rnacentral:lncRNA from 1 species
UUUCCCACAACAAAGAUUAUUGUUUAAAAAUGUGGGUCUAAAGAAGGCUAGUAAAUUUAAUGUCAGACAAAAUAAAAUUUAAGUCAAAAAAUUAAAUGUGCACGUAUUCUCACAGGCAAUUCCGAGCGGGAAUGCUAGCCACCGUGACGCUGGAAACCGCCCCAGCUGUGUCUCCUGUCCCCUGGCUGCUUUGAAUGCCCCGGCUCCGGAGGGUUCUUUCCGCCUCCUUCAGCUCUAGGUGUGACCCGAAUCAGGGGUCCCAGUAUAGGCAGAGCACGGGACACUGUUGUGAUAUGAGCUCCGUAAGGGAGCUGCAGAAUCUGGAGGUUGUUCACUUGCAUCAAGUCCAGACCCCUGCUUGCCCUGCAAGAAUCUGCCAGUGUCCUCGGAUGGAAAGUUUUCUCUGUGAGUCAUCUCAGAAGGAAAACUGGCACUUGGUACCUUUGGAUUAGGGAAUAAACAUCGGAGACGAUUGCUGAGAAGAGUGAGAUCCCCAGGCAUGGAUCACUGGAGCUCAACAAAGCCAUGACUUCAUCUCACCAGGCCCUCCCUGAGAACUCUGGAGAAAGGCUAGCCCGCCACUCCCCUGCGGACCUGGCUCCCUGGGUCCUGGUCCCUGGAGAAGCUGCACCAGAGUGCCAUGGUGACGGUGAUCACGUGAGAGGCGUGGGCCCCCACCUCCAUGCCCCGAGGACUCAGUGCACCACAGGUGGAAGGAGGUUUGGGAGCAGGACCCCUGGGCUUUCAUGCAGGGCGUCUUAAUUGUCUCGAGGACAGACACAGCUGAAGUGUGGUGUCUGCCUUCAGCCCUCCACCAAGGGCUAGUGACGCCCAGGCUGAGCGAAAGCAUGGCGGGGGGCGGGGGUGGGCUCCAGGCCUAAGGGGAGGAAAUACCAGAAGCCACAGAGGAAGGACCAGGUGCUGAGAGAGAGGGGUAACUGCUGGCCUCCAGGCAACAAUCAAAAGUAAGGAAAUGCUCAAAGAAAUGACAGGCUCAGGGCCUAUGGGAAGGCUGCCGGAGUCAACCUGAAGGAGCUCCCCAAGCUGGAACAAUUGGAGCAAUAAAAUAAAUACUGUAGUAUUGCAGCAUAACGUAGUAUGCAGCAUAAAAUGGAGAUUGACGUUUGAAUACGUAAGUGGACGGUGGUGGUGGUGGUGGGGGGGUCUUCCUUUCCCCCAAAUUUCAUUUAACGUAGGUAGAUAUUCCCUCUAGGAGGUGGAGCUUAGUUCCCUUUGCACACGUGAGAAUAGACUUAACUUAGUGGCUGGAUUCCAAAGCAUAGAAUUUGGAAAGGCAAAAAUAGUAAUGCUACAGUGGAGGAAAUGGGCGGACACCGCCUUAACCAUGUGAUCAAGGUAAUCGUCACCAGUGAUGAGUAUGGAUUUACGUGCCACCUACCGUGACACCAAGAGAAGCCACUUCGCCGCUGUGGCAUUCUUUCCAGAAACUCAGGGUCCCAGUCUGGUCAUGAGAAAAGCAUCAGUCAAACCAAAAUUGAGUGGUAUCCUAUGAAAUACCUGGCCAGUAUGGCUCAAGAAUUCACCAAGGUUGUGAAAAACAAGGAAAGCCUGAAAAGCUGCCACAGACUGGAGAUCCUGGAUUGGAUCCUGGAGGAGAAAGAGGACAUUAAUGGAAAAAUCCAGUGAAAUCCGAUGAAACCUAGAGUUUAUUUAGCGGAUAUGUCCCCAUAUUUGUUUUUUAGUUUUGACAAUGUAUCAUGUGUUGACCUAAAUAAAGAGGUAAACUGAGGCAAGCUCAAGCUACCAGAAACUGGGUUUAGUCGGAAUAUAGUGGUGGAAUUGCAUUUUGGGAAACGCGUGCUAUAGCAAGCUACAGGCGGGGCUUUUGAGGUUUGGGGGCAGGCCGAUUUAUGGGUGAGGAGUGCAAAGAUGGGGAAGUCCAGCCAGAGUCCAAGCAGUUAAGUUCACUGGCUUGGGAAUGGGGAGAUCUCGGCAGAUGUCUAUUGGUCAGGAGAUAAGUCUUAGUCUUCUGUAAAUUGGGCAUUUAUGGCAAAACAGUCUUUCAGUUCUUUUUUUUUUUUUGAGAUUUUAUUUAUUUAUUUGAGAGAUAGAAACAGAGAAAGGGAGGGGAGAGAGAGCAUGAGCUGGGAGGAGAGGGAGAAGCAAGCUCCCCACUGAGCAGGGAGCCCAACUCGGGGCUCGAUCCUGGGACUCCAGGAUCACGACUUGAGCCAAAGGCAGACACUUAACCAGCUGAGCCACCCAGGCGCCCCAGUCUUUCAGUUCUUAAGUUCCAUUCCUUUGAGGGUGCACGCAUGAGAUUCUCCAGUUCGUAUCCUCCAGUUUCAUUUUAGAUUGGGACCCUUCCAUAUGUGUAAUGUAAGCGGAUAACGUCAGGGGAGACUAAACUGGCCGAGGGGUGUACAGGAAGUCUCUGUACUAUUUUCACAAUUUCUCUCUAAAUCUAGAAUUAUUCCAAAUCACAGGCUUAUUAAAAAUAACGUACCUAGGAGAUUAUUGACUCAGUACACAGGGAGCUUUCCCAUUUGUUCUUAUCACAGCGUCGUACUUCAUCAUACGGAUUUACUAUUCAGGCAUACCUCAUUUUACUGCACUUUACUUUCUUGUGCUUCACAGACCAUUUUGUUGUGUUUUGUUUUUACAAAUUGAAAGUUUGUGGCAAGCAUCUGUCAAGCAAGUAUAUCGGCACCAUUUUUUCCAACAGCGUUUGUUCACUUCUUGUCUCUAGGUCACAUUUUGGUAAUUCUCAUAAUAUUUCAAACUUUUUCAAUGUCAUAUUUGUUAUAUGAUCUGUAGUCAAUGAUUAUAACUCAAAUCUCAGAUGAUGAUUAGCAUUUCUUAGCAAUAAAGUAUUUUUUAAUUAAGAUAUAAACAUGGUAGGUUUUUUUUGACAUAAAACUGUUGCACACUUAAUAGACUACAGUGUAGUUUAAACAACUUUGAUAAAUACUGGAAACAAACUCAUUUAACUCACUUCAUUGUAUGUACUGGGAAACAAACAAGCUCAUUUGACUCACUUUAUUGUAAUAUUUGCUUUAUUGCAGUGGUCUGGACCUGAACCUACUGUAUCUCCAAGGUAUGCCUGUAAUUUAUUGAACCAUUUCUCUACUAAUGGAUAUUUAGGUUGUUUCCAAUCUUUUCGCUAUUACAAACAGUGGCGCAUGGAUGAUAUGUCAUUUAUACAUGUGUGAGAAUAUCUGUAGAAUAAAUUUCCAAAAGUACAGUUGUUGGAUUAAAAAAUAUUGGCACUUGUUUUGACCAAUACUGCCAAACUGCCUUCCCUAGAGGUUGAAUUAAUUUAUACUUCCACCAGCAAUGUAGGAAAUGACUCCCCACACCCUUCCAACAUCGGUUAUAGUGAAACCAGCUAUAGACCCAAUGCAGCCCUCCUUGGGUUUGGUUCAUUUGCUAGGGAGCUCACAGAACAAAGGAAAGCAGUUUACUUAUUAGGUUACCAGUUUAUACAAAGGAUAUUAAAGGGUGCAAAGGAAUAGCCAGAUAAAGAGAUCUAUCAGGGUUUGUCUGGAAGGGAUCUGCACCAAGGAGGCUCUCCCAGUGCAGCUGGGGGGGGGGGCGGGCACUAAGCUCCUGGCACAGGAUGCAAUCUGGUUUACCACCUGGAAGCUCUCCAAACCCUGGAGCUCAGGGAUUUUUAUGGAGCUCAUUAGGUAGGUAUGACUGGUUAAACCAUUGACCACUAGUAAUUGAACUCAAUCUGGUGUCCGCCUGGGUGGCCCAGUCAGUUAAGUGUCUGCCUUCAGUCUGGGUCAUGAUCCCAGAGUCCUGGGAUCGAGCCCCGCAUUAGGCUCCCUGCUUGGUGGGGAGUCUGUUUCUCCCUCUGCCUCUCCCCACUGCCCCCACGCGUGCUCUCUCUCUCAAUAAAUAAAUAAAACCUAAAAAAAAAAAAAAAAAGAACUCAAUCUCUAGCCCUUCUUCCUUCUGUGGAUGUUGGAGGGUGGACCUGAAAGUUCCCAACCUCUGAUCACCUGGCUGGUUUCCCUGGCAACCAGCUUCCAUCGUUAGGUUGCCUAGGGGCUUUCCAAAA